rnacentral:rRNA from 1 species
GACGAACGCUGGCGGCGUGCCUAAUACAUGCAAGUCGAGCGGACUUUCAAGAAGCUUGCUUUUUGAAAGUUAGCGGCGGACGGGUGAGUAACACGUGGGCAACCUGCCUGCAAGACGGGGAUAACUCCGGGAAACCGGGGCUAAUACCGGAUAAUAUCUUCCUUCGCAUGAAGGAAGGUUGAAAGGCGGCGCAAGCUGCCGCUUGCAGAUGGGCCCGCGGCGCAUUAGCUAGUUGGUGAGGUAACGGCUCACCAAGGCGACGAUGCGUAGCCGACCUGAGAGGGUGAUCGGCCACACUGGGACUGAGACACGGCCCAGACUCCUACGGGAGGCAGCAGUAGGGAAUCUUCCGCAAUGGACGAAAGUCUGACGGAGCAACGCCGCGUGAGCGAAGAAGGUCUUCGGAUCGUAAAGCUCUGUUGUCAGGGAAGAACAAGUACCGUUCGAACAGGGCGGUAACUUGACGGUACCUGACCAGAAAGCCACGGCUAACUACGUG